rnacentral:rRNA from 1 species
GACGAACGCUGGCGGCGUGCCUAAUACAUGCAAGUAGAACGCUGAAGGAGGAGCUUGCUUCUCCGGAUGAGUUGCGAACGGGUGAGUAACGCGUAGGUAACCUGCCUGGUAGCGGGGGAUAACUAUUGGAAACGAUAGCUAAUACCGCAUAAGAGUAGAUGUCGCAUGACAUUUGCUUAAAAGGUGCAACUGCACCACUACCAGAUGGACCUGCGUUGUAUUAGCUAGUUGGUGAGGUAACGGCUCACCAAGGCAACGAUACAUAGCCGACCUGAGAGGGGGAUCGGCCAACCUGGGACUGAGACACGGCCCAGGCUCCUACGGGAGGCAGCAGUAGGGAAUCUUAGGCAAUGGACGGAAGUCUGACCGAGCAACGCCGCGAGAGGGAAGAAGGUUUUCGGAUCGUAAAGCUCUGUUGUAAGAGAAGAACGAGUGUGAGAGUGGAAAGUUCACACUGUGGCGGUAUCUUACCAGAAAGGGACGGCUAACUACGUG